AUGCUUGUGCCCAAUCCUGAUCCCAGCAUGAGAAUUGAAUUCUUUAGCACCAUUUUCAUCUAGAUCACAAGAUUCAGAUCAUGGCUCAUAAAAUUUUAAAUAGGCUAAUCAAUUAAACUAAGGGGUUGUUUAGUUGGAAGUGUUGGGGUCUGGAAUGGGAAUGAAGAUGGACGAUUUCCAUUUCAGUUAUUUGAUUGGAAAGAGUUCUACUUCGAUUUCGAUUUUAGGACAGAAUGAGAAUGACUCAUUCCCCAUAACCCAAUCCGAACUUUGCCAACAGAUUCAAAAUCUUAUUUCAGUGAAAUAAGAUAAAACAAAAAUCUGAUCGCUCUCAUAUUUCUCUAAUUGGAGCUCAUAACAAGAGCUUUGCCUCGAUGACUCAGCCACUACCGUUGCACUCACAUUCACCGACACCAUCAAGAGGCUUCGAGCUGAAGCUCUGAUAGUAUGGAAAUGGUAGCCGAGGGCCGAAAGAGAGGUGGCGGAUACGACGGCGGGC
rnacentral:lncRNA from 1 species